AGAACCGGAGGACGGAACAGGCAGCCGUCACCCUUUGUUUGGAGAUGCGGGAAGCGUCCCCCCGCCCGGUUUC
rnacentral:ncRNA from 1 species